rnacentral:rRNA from 1 species
AGAGCGCAGGGCGAAUGCCUUGGCACUGGGAGCCGACGAAGGACGUGAUAAGCUGCGAUAAGCUGCGGGGAGGAGCAAAUAUCCAUUGAUCCGCAGAUUUCCGAAUGGAGAAAUCCGUAUGGAGAAGUCCAUACAUCAUAUACUGAAUUCAUAGGUAUAUGAGGGAAACCGCCUGAACUGAAACAUCUAAGUAGGGCGAGGAAAAGAAAUCAACCGAGAUACCGCAAGUAGUGGCGAGCGAACGCGGCAGAGGCCAAACCCGUAGUAGAAAUACUAUGGGGGUUGCGGACUGCAUUUAGCAUUGUUGAUCUUUAACCGAAGGGCAUGGGAAGGCCCACCGAAGAACGUGAGAGUCGUGUAGGUGAAAAGGAGAGACAGCGAGCAGGAUCCAGAGUACCGCGGGACACGAGGAAUCCCGUGGGAAGCCGGGGGGACCACCCUCCAAGCCUAAAUACUACCCAGUGACCGAUAGCGUAUAGUACUGUGAAGGAAAGGUGAAAAGGACCCCGGGAGGGGAGUGAAAUAGAACCUGAAACCCUGUGCUUACAAGCACCGAGAGCCCGUCAAUGGGUGAUCGGGUACUUUUUGUAGAACGGUCCGGCGAGUAUAUGGAACAAGCAAGGUUAAGGUCUUCAGGACCGCAGCCGAAGGGAAACCAAGUCUUAAUAGGGCGCACAGUUUGUUUCAUAUGACCCGAAACCGGGUGACCUAUCCAUGUCCAGGUUGAAGUGGCGGUAAAACGCCAUGGAGGACCGAACCAACCCCCGUUGAAAAGGUGGUGGAUGAGGUGUGGAUAGCGGAGAAAUUCCAAUCGAACUCGGAUAUAGCUGGUUCUCCCCGAAAUAGCUUUAGGGCUAGCGUUGUGUUAGAUUACCGGAGGUAAAGCACUGAAUAGGCUAGGGGGCGAGAGUCUACCGACCCUUAUCAAACUCUGAAUGCCGGAUAAUUGAUGCACAGCAGUCAGACAGUGUGAGAUAAGUUUCAUUGUCAAAAGGGAAACAGCCCAGACCCACAGCUAAGGUCCCAAAUGUAUGUUAAGUGGAAAAGGAUGUCCAGUUGCACAAACAACCAGGAUGUUGGCUUAGAAGCAGCCACACAUUCAAAGAGUGCGUAACAGCUCACUGGUCGAGUGACCGGGCGCCGAAAAUGUAACGGGGCUAAACAUACAACCGAAGCUUGGGCUGCACAGCAAUGUGCGGGGUAGGGGAGCGUUGUGUGCGGGGUGAAGCACGAGCGGAAGCGCGUGUGGACUGCACAGAAGUGAGAAUGCCGGAAUGAGUAGCGCGAAUUAUGUGAGAAUCAUAAUGGCCGAAAGCCUAAGGUUUCUGGAGGAAGGUUCGUCCGCUCCAGGUUAGCCGGGAGCUAAGGUGAGGCCGAAAGGCGUAGCCGAUGCACAUACGGUGGAGAUUCCGUAGCCAUCAAAAGAUUUAAGCAGAGGGACACAGUAGAAGGGUACAUGCCGGGCGUUGGUAGCCCCGGUUGCAAGGGACCGAAAUUAGAGUAGGGAAGAUGGACUUGGAUACUGGCGAGAAAAGCUCUGUGGAUAUCUGCGAUGCCCGUACCGCAAACCGACACAGGUAGGUAGGAAGAGGAUUCUAAGGCCAACGGGAGAAGGGUUGUUAAGGAACUCGGCAAGUUGACCCCGUAACUUCGGGAGAAGGGGUGCUCUGGAAACAGAGCCGCAGAGAAUAGGUCCAGGCAACUGUUUAGCAAAAACACAGCUCUCUGCUAAAUCGAAAGAUGAUGUAUAGGGGGUGACGCCUGCCCGGUGCUGGAAGGUUAAGAGGAGGAGUGAGAGCCCCGAAUCGAAGCCCCAGUAAACGGCGGCCGUAACUAUAACGGUCCUAAGGUAGCGAAAUUCCUUGUCAGGUAAGUUCUGACCCGCACGAAAGGCGUAAUGAUCUGGACACUGUCUCAACAGCCCACCCGGCGAAAUUGUAGUACCGGUGAAGAUGCCGGUUACCCGCGACAAGACGGAAAGACCCCAUGGAGCUUUACUGUAGCUUAAUAUUGGAUUUCGGUAUUUCAUGUACAGGAUAGGUGGGAGACUGGGAAACACAGGCGUCAGCUUGUGCGGAGUCGCCCUUGGGAUACCACCCUUGAAGUGCUGGAAUUCUAACCUGUGGCCAUGAAUCUGGUCAGGGGACAUUGUUAGGCGGGCAGUUUGACUGGGGCGGUCGCCUCCAAAAGAGUAACGGAGGCGCUCA